CUGCCCCCUUUUAAUUCAGUGGGAGAAAAUGUUUGGAAUGUCAUUUGCGUAACUGUGCCCUCAAUUCAACAACAUGCCCAGGCAGGCGUGUAUUCACCAUUAUAUUUCCAACCUCCAGCAUAGAGCAUGGCAAGUACCAUGGAGUCUUUGUGAGGAACAAGACCAUAACUAGGAGGAACUAAGUUGAUGUACUCAAGGAAAGACAUGGCAACACUUGGAAAUAAAAUUCAGAAGGAAACAGGCAGUCUGCCUGUGCUGGGGAAACCUGUGAAGACAGUAGCUAGCAUAGGUAGAAUUCUGAAGAAGGAAAGAGAAGAUUUGGAAGUGUAACAUUGGUGAAAUAGCUAAAGACGAUUUUCAGAUAUUUGCUCUGUUGCCAAGAGUAGCCGCCCUUUGGUCUGAGAGUCCAUAUCUAUGUUGCACUUCAUGGGCUUGGAGCCAUGUCUGCAUUUCAUUCGGCUGUGUCACUGUGCUGAGGUGAACUCUGUGGAGGGAGGGAGUACAGCCAAUUUUGUUCAUGCUACAUAAAGUAUUGAUCUGAUGGGGAUUCUUCAGCAACGGAGGCACAAUAACCAAAGACAGACAGAAGCAAACAUUGGCAGUGUCCAUUUCAGCACAGCCCAAAGGG